rnacentral:lncRNA from 1 species
CCAAGCUUCUGGCAGCGAGGUGGGGCUGGCCCAACCAGCUCUCCCUCAGGGCACACCCUGCUCUGUCCUGCGAGUCACACACCCAGCAUGGGUCAACAGAGCCACCUGCAGCAAGGGGAUUUUCCCUCAGCCUUCACAUGAAAUUUCAGAGGCUGUCCCUGGAACAUGUGUGUUUGGGGAUGAGUGGAAAGGGAGCAACAGCCAACUUUUGGGGAAGCUUCCUUCUUGGGAGAAGACACCAUUCCACUCUCUGUGACCAGAGGAUUAUCCGCCUCCCAAUAUCUGAUUAGGAUGGGAGAAGCUGAGUACAGGAGGUGCUUGGAUGAAAGCACAGAGGAAGCACUGACGUCUUUAUCCACCUGGAGGCCUGAAGCAGAGAUCAGCCAGAGGAGCCAACCUUGG